UAACGCUGAGGUGUGAUGACGAGGCACUACGGUGCUGAAGUGACAAAUGCCCUGCUUCCAGGAAAAGCCUCUAAGCAUCAGGUAACAUCAAAUCGUACCCCAAACCGACACAGGUGGUCAGGUAGAGAAUACCAAGGCGCUUGAGAGAACUCGGGUGAAGGAACUAGGCAAAAUGGUGCCGUAACUUCGGGAGAAGGCACGCUGAUGGUAAGUGAAGUGACUUGCUCAUGGAGCUGAAAUCAGUCGAAGAUACCAGCUGGCUGCAACUGUUUAUUAAAAACACAGCACUGUGCAAACACGAAAGUGGACGUAUACGGUGUGACGCCUGCCCGGUGCCGGAAGGUUAAUUGAUGGGGUUAUCCUCACGGAGAAGCUCUUGAUCGAAGCCCCGGUAAACGGCGGCCGUAACUAUAACGGUCCUAAGGUAGCGAAAUUCCUUGUCGGGUAAGUUCCGACCUGCACGAAUGGCGUAAUGAUGGCCAGGCUGUCUCCACCCGAGACUCAGUGAAAUUGAACUCGCUGUGAAGAUGCAGUGUACCCGCGGCAAGACGGAAAGACCCCGUGAACCUUUACUAUAGCUUGACACUGAACACUGGUCCUUGAUGUGUAGGAUAGGUGGGAGGCUUUGAAGUGUGGACGCCAGUCUGCAUGGAGCCGUCCUUGAAAUACCACCCUUUAAUGGCUGGUGUUCUAACGUGGGCCCGUGAUCCGGGUUGCGGACAGUGUCUGGUGGGUAGUUUGACUGGGGCGGUCUCCUCCUAAAGAGUAACGGAGGAGCACGAAGGUCAGCUAAUCCUGGUCGGACAUCAGGAGGUUAGUGCAAUGGCAUAAGCUGGCUUGACUGCGAGCGUGACGGCGCGAGCAGGUGCGAAAGCAGGUCAUAGUGAUCCGGUGGUUCUGAAUGGAAGGGCCAUCGCUCAACGGAUAAAAGGUACUCCGGGGAUAACAGGCUGAUACCGCCCAAGAGUUCAUAUCGACGGCGGUGUUUGGCACCUCGAUGUCGGCUCAUCACAUCCUGGGGCUGAAGUAGGUCCCAAGGGUAUGGCUGUUCGCCAUUUAAAGUGGUACGCGAGCUGGGUUUAGAACGUCGUGAGACAGUUCGGUCCCUAUCUGCCGUGGGCGCUGGAGAAUUGAGGGGGGCUGCUCCUAGUACGAGAGGACCGGAGUGGACGCAUCACUGGUGUUCGGGUUGUCAUGCCAAUGGCAUUGCCCGGUAGCUAAAUGCGGAAGAGAUAAGUGCUGAAAGCAUCUAAGCACGAAACUUGCCCCGAGAUGAGUUCUCCCUGAC
rnacentral:rRNA from 1 species